GACGAACGCUGGCGGCGUGCUUAACACAUGCAAGUCGAACGGAGUUACGUUUUCGGAUGUAACUUAGUGGCGAACGGGUGAGUAACGCGUGAGGAACCUGCCUUUCAGUGGGGGACAACAGUUAGAAAUGACUGCUAAUACCGCAUAAGCGCACAGCACCGCAUGGUGCAGUGUGAAAAGCCGAGACGGUAUAAGAUGGACCCGCGUCUGAUUAGCUAGUUGGUGAGGUAACGGCCCACCAAGGCGACGAUCGUUAGGGGUUCUGAGAGGAAGGUCCCCCANACUGGAACUGAGACACGGUCCAGACUCCUACGGGAGGCAGCAGUGAGGAAUAUUGGGUCAAUGGUCGGAAGACUGAAACCCAGGCCAAAGUAGCGUGAAGGAUGACUGCCCUACGGGUUGUAAACUUCUUUAGCAGGGACGAAGAACGUGACGGUACCUGCAGAAAAAGCAACGGCUAACUACGUG
rnacentral:rRNA from 1 species